rnacentral:piRNA from 1 species
UGUACCGUAGACAGGUGAUGCCGA